GACGAGCGCUGGCGGCGUGCUUAACACAUGCAAGUCGAACGAAAAGAGGGAAAGAGCUUGCUCUUUCCGGAAUUGAGUGGCAAACGGGUGAGUAACACGUAAACAACCUGCCUUCAGGAUGGGGACAACAGACGGAAGCGACUGCUAAUACCGAAUAAGUUCCAAGGGCCGCAUGGCCCAUGGAAGAAAAGGUGGCCUCUACCUGUAAGCUAUCGCCUGAAGAGGGGUUUGCGUCUGAUUAGCUGGUUGGAGGGGUAACGGCCCACCAAGGCGACGAUCAGUAGCCGGUCUGAGAGGAUGAACGGCCACACUGGAACUGAGACACGGUCCAGACUCCUACGGGAGGCAGCAGUGGGGAAUCUUCCGCAAUGGGCGAAAGCCUGACGGAGCAACGCCGCGUGAGUGAUGACGGCCUUCGGGUUGUAAAACUCUGUGAUCCGGGACGAAAAGGCAGAGUGCGAAGAACAAACUGCAUUGACGGUACCGGAAAAGCAAGCCACGGCUAACUACGUG
rnacentral:rRNA from 1 species